rnacentral:tRNA from 1 species
UGCGGGGUGGAGCAGAUGGUUAGCUCGUCGGGCUCAUAACCCGAAGGUCAUAGGUUCGAGUCCUAUCCCCGCUACCA